rnacentral:lncRNA from 1 species
GUGUCAAAUAUUGAAUUGAUAAAUUUUAAUAGUUUUAGAUUGUCAAUCUUAGGAAGAUGGCUUAUAAUAAAUUUCAGUAUAUUGUUGUCAAUCUUCAGAACGUAUUGCACAUCCCUAUUCUUAAUUGUAGUAAGAUAAUUUACAAACCCAUUUACAGACCCUUGUUUGUUGAAAAUUUCUCUUAUUUGUUCUUCUAAAAUGCUCAUGAACUGAGUUUUUAGGUUAGGAGUUGAGUUUGAAGUAAUGGG